rnacentral:rRNA from 1 species
CCUACGGGUGGCAGCAGUGAGGAAUAUUGCUCAAUGGGCGCGAGCCUGACCCAGCCAAGUCGCGUGAGGGAUGACUGCCCUAUGGGUUGUAACCGUCUUUUGUAAAGGAAUAAAGUGAGGCACGUGUGCCUUUUUGUCUGUACUUUAUGAUUAAGGCACGGGUAACUCCGUGCCAGCAGCCGCGGUUAUACGGAGGAACCGGGCGUUAGCCGGAUUUCUUGGGGUUAAAAGGAGCGUAGAUGGGUUGUUAAGUCAGUUGUGAAAGUUUGGGGCUCAAACGGAAAAUGGAAAUUGAUACUGGCAGGCUUGAGUACAGUUGAGGUAGGCGGAAUUCGUGGUGUAGCGGUGAAAUGCGUAGAUAUCACGAAGAACACCGAUGGCGAAGGCAGCUUACUAAACUGCCACUGACAUUGAUGCGCGAAAGCGGGGGUAGCAAACAGGAUUAGAGACCCGAGUAGUC